GGGGUUGAUAAGGUUUCUACAUGUUUAUUUCUACAACUACUAAUAUAGCUAUCAUUUUUAUUAAUGAUAAUCACAUGACUUUUUAAUUGCAAAACAUAAUAUAAUUACUUUUUCGAGAAACUUCGUAACAGCUUAGAAUCUUGAUACUAUAAUUUGUAAAUAUUCAUACUAAAUUAUAAUUUUUUUAUUGAAUGCCUUGAAUACAAUCAAUACAUUAAAUAUUACUUUAAGUAUUGUUUAUUUAGCUAAGUUUUAACUAUUAGUUCCUAGAAUUAUAUAUUUUUGAUAUUGGCUGUUGAUUCUUAAAUAAGCAUGGACGUGGGUUCGAAUCCCACCAGCUCCA
rnacentral:tmRNA from 1 species